UGUACAACCCACCACGGGUGCGGCGACUGACGCUCAUUAUGUUGAUUACUAAAUAUUAAUCUACUACUGGACAAAAAUUUGGUCAGUAUGAAAUGACUUUGCAAUAAAUAGCACCUACCUCCCCUGCUAUUAAGAUUUAUUAACAUUGAUUGACA